AUUGAACGCUGGCGGCAGGCCUAACACAUGCAAGUCGAACGAGCGGCGGACGGGUGAGUAAUGUAUGGGGAUCUGCCCGAUAGAGGGGGAUAACUACUGGAAACGGUGGCUAAUACCGCAUACUAUCGGAUGAACCCAGAUGGGAUUAGCUAGUAGGUGGGGUAAAGGCGCACCUAGGCGACGAACCCGAGCUGGUCUGAGAGGAUGACCAGCCACACUGGGACUGAGACACGGCCCAGACUCCUACGGGAGGCAGCAGUGGGGAAUAUUGCGCAAUGGGGGCAAGCCUGAUGCAGCCAUGCCGCGUGAAUGAAGAAGGCCUUCGGGUUGUAAAGUUCUUUCAGUAGCGAGGCGUUAACUACAGAAGAAGCACCGGCUAACUCCGUGCCAGCAGCCGCGGUAAUAC
rnacentral:rRNA from 1 species